rnacentral:rRNA from 1 species
AGAUUGAACGCUGGCGGCAGGCCUAACACAUGCAAGUCGAGCGGUAACAGAGAGUAGCUUGCUACUUUGCUGACGAGCGGCGGACGGGUGAGUAAUGCUUGGGAACAUGCCUUGAGGUGGGGGACAACAGUUGGAAACGACUGCUAAUACCGCAUAAUGUCUACGGACCAAAGGGGGCUUCGGCUCUCGCCUUUAGAUUGGCCCAAGUGGGAUUAGCUAGUUGGUGAGGUAAUGGCUCACCAAGGCGACGAUCCCUAGCUGGUUUGAGAGGAUGAUCAGCCACACUGGGACUGAGACACGGCCCAGACUCCUACGGGAGGCAGCAGUGGGGAAUAUUGCACAAUGGGCGCAAGCCUGAUGCAGUCAUGCCGCGUGUGUGAAGAAGGCCUUCGGGUUGUAAAGCACUUUCAGUCAGGAGGAAAGGUUAGUAGUUAAUACCUGCUAGCUGUGACGUUACUGACAGAAGAAGCACCGGCUAACUCCGUGCCAGCAGCCGCGGUAAUACGGAGGGUGCGAGCGUUAAUCGGAAUUACUGGGCGUAAAGCGUACGCAGGCGGUUUGUUAAGCGAGAUGUGAAAGCCCCGGGCUCAACCUGGGAACUGCAUUUCGAACUGGCAAACUAGAGUGUGAUAGAGGGUGGUAGAAUUUCA